UCGGCCAGGCCUGAGAUGCCGGGAGGGUUUGACCCUGGGGCUGCAUGGACAGCUUAGCGCUCGGCCGCUGGCGACAGCGGAGGGCGGAGGAUCUGCAGGUUCCGGGGGACGUGCCCUGUCCUAGGCACUGGAGAUGAGAUGAAGAAACGAUGAGUAGAGGCCUUGCUUACGUUUAUCCUGCAACUCAUGAUGAGGCUUACUCUGCAACUCCAGUGCUCGGCUUUUUACACAACAGAGUCUCUGUUGCCCAGGCUGGAGUACAGUCGCACGAUCUUGGCUCACUGCAACCUCUGCCUCUCAGGUUCGAGUGAUUCUUCUGCCUCAGCCUCCCAAGUUGCUGGGAUUACAGAAACGGGUAUGCAGGAGAUUAGAAGCCAGUGGGCAUGAGCGUGGCUGCCACCAGGUGAAUGCCUGUGCCCUGGCGUCCUGGGGCCCAGAGGACCGGGAGCUUCCAUCAAGAGGCUGCCUCCCAGCACCAAGGCCAGAGAGUGGCCAGGGGAGGCUAAGUACAGGGAUUUCUCAGAAUGGUGGAAGGAGCUCAGCCCAGCCUUGCCCAAGAUGUAUUGCAGGGGAAUCUGGACAUUUUAGCCAUACCAAGAAUCAUUAGAAGAUGCAAGCUGGAAAAAAGAAGGUCCCAGUUUUGGUUUUGAACCCUUCAUGUUGCAGCAAAUGUGAAUCUCCUACAGAUGGGUUUGGGGACUUACCUGUUCAAAUAGCAGCCCGGUGUCCUCUGUGGGUGGGGGGAGGUUUGUCUGUCCUUUCAUUCUAGUAAAUCCACCAUCCUCUGCACGAGAGCCAGGAGAAUCCACAUCACUUCAAAAGAGCCCCCAAAUCCUUACUACGUACUACAGCCUCCUUUCGAAUGUUCCUGGUUGAGAGGGAGAUCAAUUGCAUUAUUUACAAGUCAAAAAAUUUUGUAUCAAACUUCCUAUGAGCUUGGGCACUCAUGGCCUAUGGAGGCCCACCCAGACGCAGCCCCGCCAUCAUGCUUUUUCGUUGUUUUGUGGAUGUACCCAGGGCUAUUUACACACUCUUUCAUUAAAAGGCUUAUUUUUAUAUUUAAA
rnacentral:lncRNA from 1 species